rnacentral:rRNA from 1 species
UAAGAUAGGCUAAAUUGGACGGGAGAUUCGAAA